AACUUACAAGUUCUCUUUUUUUUUUUUUUCCAUUUCCUAAUUUCUCAUUUUAAUAAAAAAGAACUGGAAAUAAAAUAAAAUCCCUCAAACAAAAGAAACCAAAUACCCAUCCAUCCUAUUCACAAAUUUCCAUUAAUGGUGUAGUCUAUAGAUACCUCAGGGGCCAGACAACUUGGCAGCCAGGGUCCCUUGUCACUUCGACUCUUCCCAAUUGAACUUGUAAAAACCACCAGCCCCAGAAAAGAACCCAAAAAUAUUUGCCAAUGAUAAACUCUUCCAUAUCACUCAACUCCUUUAGAUUUCCACCUAA
rnacentral:misc_RNA from 1 species